rnacentral:rRNA from 1 species
GAUGAACGCUGGCGGCGUGCCUAAUACAUGCAAGUCGAGCGAACAGACGAUGAGCUUGCUCCUCUGACGUUAGCGGCGGACGGGUGUGUAACACGUGUAUAACCUACCUAUAAGACUGAUAUAACUUCGGGAAACCGGCGCUAAUACCGGAUAAUAUAUUGAACCGCAUUGUUCAAUAGUGAAAGUCGGCUUUGCUGUCACUUAUAGAUGGAUACGGGCCGCAUUAGCUAGUUGGUAGGGUAACGGCUUACCAAGGCGACGAUGCGUAGCCGACCUGUGAGGGUGGUCGGCGACCUGGGAGGUGGGACGGGCACAAGACGACUGAGAGACGGAGCAGAAGGGAAUGUGCCGCAAUGGGCGGGAACAUGACAGAGCGAGGGCGCGUGUGAGACAGAGACCUUGGGAGCGGAAAACUCUGUUAUGGGGGGAAAACAACUGUGGAAGGAGAUGUGCACGGAGUGACGGUAACUGGUCAGAAAGCACCGGCUAACUACGUG